AAAGAAGUAUCAUUCAAAAGUUCUCAGACGCCUCAGAGCAUCAAUUUUUUGCAUUUUUUGGGAAAAAUCCAAUGGUGGCUUUAAAGCCAAGAAUGUAAAAAUCUUUCAUUAUCUCUAAUUUAAGAUUUUCGCUUUUAAAUAUAAAUUCUAAUGCUUAUUGUUUUGUUACAGAUUGUCUUCUACAAUCUCCACUUCCCCUAAUGCUGCAAGAAUCUUAUGAUGCUUCAAAAGCUAAAAAUAAAUUUUUCACGGCGUUCACUUUCACCAUG